rnacentral:lncRNA from 1 species
CGGGAGUGGUGUUUCCGAUCUACGCUGCUUCGGUCUCUGUGUUAGCGCGUGGGGCCUCAUCUUCUGAACUCGCUUACCCUCAGCUUCCUGGGCCACAGCUCAUUGUUCUCCCUUAACUGUGCGGUGUCGGCGUCCUCGCUCGUGGUGUACUCGCAGUUCGCUUUCCGGGUACUGGCAUUCACAAGAAUGGCUCAGUAAUCUAGGCCUUUAGGUGUCAUCCUUACCCUCUCCCCGCACCAUGGCGGUGGAGACGCAUUGGGGAGGAAAAGUGAACCCCUUAAGAGGACUGCUCCGAGGGCAAAUGGAACUAGCUCAGCAGCUUGCCACCCCUGGGUGCCUGGCCCGGUAAACAAAAUCUUUUAGAGGGUUUGUGCUUUGCAGAACUCAAGACUGAAGCCCAACCAACCCUUUAGUGAUUUGACUCUGUGUAUCUCCAGCUCAUGAUUCCCUAUGCAUGGUUUACCUACCAGGAAAGAAGGCACUCCUCAGCUACUAUAAAUAUCAGGUGUAACUUGAUGUUUAAGGUGGGUAUUAUAAAUGCCAUUGACAUUGACGCCGGACAGCCAUUUUAAUCACCUGGGAGCUUAUUAGAAAUGCAUACUUUUGGCCCCACUCCAGUCUUUCUGAAUCAGAAACUUGAGAUUCCCAGGCAGUUCCUCUACACCAUAAAGUUUAAGAAGCAUUGGUGAGCCAAUCACAAUAAUUCCAUCUUGAUAGGGACUGUUUCUGUAAUGGGUGUGUCAUCCAUUUUGAGCCAGUGAAACCCCAAGGUGCCAGCUCAGAGCAUCUGGGAGGAAAAAAGCCAGUCUCUCCUGGAUGUAAACAAGGCUGCAAGACAGCACACUGCUUCAGUUCCUGCUGUCAAACAUCUUGUGACCACAAGUGAACCUAGAUUGUGGCCAAGACUGCCAGGAGCCUACCCAGAGUGUUCAUUCUCCUCUUCCUGAGUAAUAGGACCAGUGGACGUUCCCAUGGGAUGGAAGAAGCAUAGGAUGGAAAUGAGUGCCCUAGACUUUGCAGCAACACACAUUGUGUUAGGAAUGUGUCUAUAAGGCCUGUUGAGACAAGUGGUUUUCAACCAGAGUUGCAUAUCAGAAUCACUUGGACAACAUUUUAAAGAUAUCAAUUUCCAGGCCCCCUCCUAGAGGUGUUUUUGUUGUUGUUGUUGUUGUUGUUUGGUUUUUUUUAACGGCCACACCUUUGGCCUAUGGAAGCUCCUGGGCAAGGUGUUGAAUUGCAGCUGCAGGCCUAUGCCACAGCCAUGGCAACACUAAGUCCAAGCUGUAUCUGCAACCUAUGCCACAGCUUGUGGCAACACUGGAUUCUCAACCCUCUGAGUGAGGCCAGGGAUUGAACCUGCAUCCUCACAGACACUGUGUCAGAUUCUUAAUCUGCUAAAUCACAGUGNNNNNNNNNNNNNNNNNNNNNNNNNNNNNNNNNNNNNNNNNNNNNNNNNNCCCCCGGGCUGUCCCUGCAGCACGCUGAAGUUUCCAGGCCAGAGGUGGAACCUGAGCCACAGCAGCAACAAUGCUGGAUCCUUAAAAACCCACCCACCCCCAUCACCAGGAAACUUCUGGACACAUUUUAUAAAAGUUCCUCAGUGGUUAUACUAUGUAGCCAUUGAGAAAUACCAGCUUAAAUCACAUUUUACAGCAUAAUGCCAUUUCAGUAUUGCUUUUCCCCUAGGAUUGCUCAUGAAACUUCUUGUAAACUCUUUUCGUAACUUUGUUGUUUUUUGUUUUUUGUGGUCUAAGACCCACAGAGGUCCAAGGCCCAGGUCCCAAGGCUGCUUUUCUAGACUCCUCUAGUAGGAGCCACCAAGGUAUACUUUUCAAAGCUGACUGAGGCCCCACUUUGUGGGACUGUUUCUGUUUCUAAGUUCAGCUAACUUUUGCCUCUUUCCUUUAUUUCCCCAAGGGUGAUGUUACUAUCUCUGCCAUGUCACUCACCCUUUGCUUUGUCAGCUCUUGAAUGCCAAAUUCUCUAUGUUGAAUUAUCUGUUAAAAUUAUUAAUGUGAGGAGUUCCCGUCGUGGCUCAGUGGUUAACGAAUCCGACUAGGAACCAUGAGGUUGCUGGUUUGAUCCCUGGCCUCACUCAGUGGGCUAAGGAUCCAGA